UUAACUUAGAUUUGUAUGAAGUCGGAACGUUUCCCUACGUUUGCCGCUAGGGGCGCUGUUCCAACUGCAUACAAAUUUGAGUUA
rfam:Bombyx mori DNA, contig: Bm_scaf25_contig16558, strain: p50T/Dazao, build 2, whole genome shotgun sequence.